UUUUCUACAUAUUACAUGUUUUGUUACCGUAAAAUGUUGAUUAAUUCAUUGAAGCAAUAGUGUUUUCUAACAGAACCUACCCUUGGGGAUAUAAAUAAGUAAUCGACCCUAAAUGUUUUAACCAGUAAAAGGACAUUUUUUAAAAUAACUUUGCUUGGAUAAGUAAAGAGAAAACGAUUUUCAGUGCCCCAUGCAAUUGGGUUCUGACCCGGAGUCUUGGUCAUAGAACUAUUAAGCUCUACUAGGCAGCUUUGCGGCAGCAGUGCGUCAGACCUGACAUUGACGGGGUCCACUGGAAAUAGUUGAUACUUUACUUGGAUAAGUUGAGUGGCAAGUCCAAAAUGUGCACUUCAAUAUUGAGCUGGAUUCUCAAUCUUGUUGUUAGUCAUCUCCAUAUAAUACCUUACUGACUAGACACUGGAAAAAGAUUCAUAAAAAGUUUUCGUGAAGUCCACGGACGCAUCUAAGUUAUGAUGAUCAAUUACUGGCAUCAUUGGAAAACCGGUAAUGGAACAAAGAUAGAAUAUUAAUGGUGGGUCCCGAACAAGACUUGUUUAUCAACCAACUGGCAUCACAAAGUCGAAGUCGUUACGGAUGCAAUUGGGUUCUGACCCGGAGUCUUGAUCUCUAUUUAUUUUCUCGCUGAUUGGACACUGAAAAAAGAUGCGCAAAAAGUUACCAGGAACGCAUUUAUUCGCAUUUUUAUUAUGAUGAUCAGUCACUGAUAUCAUUGGAAAAGCAA